rnacentral:rRNA from 1 species
CUUACCCAUGACGAGUCGAGCGAUGAAAGGGAGCUUGCUCCCUCGAUUAGUGGCGAACGGGUGAGUAACACGUGAGUAACCUGCCCUUGACUCUGGGAUAAGCACUGGAAACGGUGUCUAAUACCGGAUACGAACUUCAGCCGCAUGGCUAGGAGUUGGAAAGAAUUUCGGUCAAGGAUGGACUCGCGGCCUAUCAGCUAGUUGGUGAGGUAAUGGCCCACCAAGGCGACGACGGGUAGCCGGCCUGAGAGGGUGACCGGCCACACUGGGACUGAGACACGGCCCAGACUCCUACGGGAGGCAGCAGUGGGGAAUAUUGCACAAUGGGCGCAAGCCUGAUGCAGCAACGCCGCGUGAGGGACGACGGCCUUCGGGUUGUAAACCUCUUUUAGUAGGGAAGAAGCGAAAGUGACGGUACCUGCAGAAAAAGCACCGGCUAACUACGUGCCAGCAGCCGCGGUAAUACGUAGGGUGCAAGCGUUAUCCGGAAUUAUUGGGCGUAA